rnacentral:rRNA from 1 species
GAUGAACGCUAGCUACAGGCUUAACACAUGCAAGUCGAGGGGAAACGAUAUUGGAAGCUUGCUUCCGAUAGGCGUCGACCGGCGCACGGGUGAGUAACGCGUAUCCAACCUGCCCACCACUUGGGGAUAACCUUGCGAAAGUAAGACUAAUACCCAAUGAUAUCUCUAGAAGACAUCUGAAGGAGAUUAAAGAUUCAUCGGUGAUGGAUGGGGAUGCGUCUGAUUAGCUUGUUGGCGGGGUAACGGCCCACCAAGGGGACGAUCAGUAGGGGUUCUGAGAGGAAGGUCCCCCACAUUGGGACUGAGACACGGGCCAAACUCCUACGGGAGGCAGCAGUGAGGAAUAUUGGUCAGUGGGCGAGAGCCUGAACCAGCCAAGUAGCGUGCAGGACGACGGCCCUAUGGGUUGUAAACUGCUUUUAUAAGGGAAUAAAGUGAGUCUCGUGAGACUUUUUGCAUGUACCUUAUGAAUAAGGACCGGCUAAUUCCGUGCCAGCCGCCACUGUAA